rnacentral:misc_RNA from 1 species
CUUGGCUGGACCAGUGG